GACGAACGCUGGCGGCGUGCCUAAUACAUGCAAGUAGAACGCUGAAGGAGGAGCUUGCUUCUCCGGAUGAGUUGCGAACGGGUGAGUAACGCGUAGGUAACCUGCCUGGUAGCGGGGGAUAACUAUUGGAAACGAUAGCUAAUACCGCAUAAGAGUAGAUGUCGCAUGACAUUUGCUUAAAAGGUGCAACUGCACCACUACCAGAUGGACCUGCGUUGUAUUAGCUAGUUGGUGAGGUAACGGCUCACCAAGGCAACGAUACAUAGCCGACCUGAGAGGGUGAGCGGCCACGCUGGGACGGGGACACGGCCCAGACUCCUGCGGGAGGCAGCAGUAGGGAAUCUUCGGCAAUGGACGGAAGUCUGACCGAGCAACGCCGCGUGAGUGAAGAAGGUUUUCGGAUCGUAAAGCUCUGUUGUAAGAGAAGAACGAGUGUGAGAGUGGAAAGUUCACACUGUGACGGUAUCUUACCAGAAAGGGACGGCUAACUACGUG
rnacentral:rRNA from 1 species